UGGUAGUCCAUGCCGUAAACGUUGGGCACUAGGUGUGGGGGACAUUCCACGUUUUCCGCGCCGUAGCUAACGCAUUAAGUGCCCCGCCUGGGGAGUACGGCCGCAAGGCUAAAACUCAAAGGAAUUGACGGGGGCCCGCACAAGCGGCGGAGCAUGCGGAUUAAUUCGAUGCAACGCGAAGAACCUUACCAAGGCUUGACAUGAACCGGAAAGACCUGGAAACAGGUGCCCCGCUUGCGGUCGGUUUACAGGUGGUGCAUGGUUGUCGUCAGCUCGUGUCGUGAGAUGUUGGGUUAAGUCCCGCAACGAGCGCAACCCUCGUUCUAUGUUGCCAGCGCGUUAUGGCGGGGACUCAUAGGAGACUGCCGGGGUCAACUCGGAGGAAGGUGGGGACGACGUCAAAUCAUCAUGCCCCUUAUGUCUUGGGCUUCACGCAUGCUACAAUGGCCGGUACAAAGGGUUGCGAUACUGUGAGGUGGAGCUAAUCCCAAAAAGCCGGUCUCAGUUCGGAUUGGGGUCUGCAACUCGACCCCAUGAAGUCGGAGUCGCUAGUAAUCGCAGAUCAGCAACGCUGCGGUGAAUACGUUCCCGGGCCUUGUACACACCGCCCGUCAAGUCACGAAAGUUGGUAACACCCGAAGCCGGUGGCCUAACCCUUGUGGG
rnacentral:rRNA from 1 species